rnacentral:rRNA from 1 species
GACGAACGCUGGCGGCGUGCCUAAUACAUGCGAGUUGAGCGCUGAAGGUUGGUACUUGUACCGACUGGAUGAGCAGCGAACGGGUGAGUAACGCGUGGGGAAUCUGCCUUUGAGCGGGGGACAACAUUUGGAAACGAAUGCUAAUACCGCAUAAAAACUUUAAACACAAGUUUUAAGUUUGAAAGAUGCAAUUGCAUCACUCAAAGAUGAUCCCGGGUUGUAUUAGCUAGUUGGUGAGGUAAAGGCUAACCAAGGCGAUGAUACAUAGCCGACCUGAGAGGGUGAUCGGCCACAUUGGGACUGAGACACGGCCCAAACUCCUACGGGAGGCAGCAGUAGGGAAUCUUCGGCAAUGGACGAAAGUCUGACCGAGCAACGCCGCGUGAGUGAAGAAGGUUUUCGGAUCGUAAAACUCUGUUGGUAGAGAAGAACGUUGGUGAGAGUGGAAAGCUCAUCAAGUGACGGUAACUACCCAGAAAGGGACGGCUAACUACGUGCCAGCCGCCGCCGUAA